CGGACGGUUGGGAAUGGCGUGUUUUCCCGGGGCUUUAGUCGUGGCUCUGCUGGCGAUGUUGUUUUCCUUCACAGGACCCUGGAAAAUGGGGAUUACUUCUCAUAGCUCAGGUAUCUAAUUGAGGAAGAAGAUAUUUGAAGAUCAAGACUACGGACUGCGCACAAGACUCAUGCAGCAGUGAUUCCUUCUUUCCAACAUGCUUCUGAGAUCUGGACUAUCUAUAGCAGGCACCACACUCAGUGCUGUUUGUAAUUAACUAACAACCACCAUCAUUUCAUGAUGCCUGGGAUAAGUUAUGUAGAGAGGCCAGAGAAACUGGAAUUGUUCCUUCAAUACAAGAGAUUAAGAGAUGGUAUUAAUUGCCCUGGGGAUCCUGACUGGCACAUUUUUAAACGUCACUGUUACCUUUGGAGUCCUACUUUAAGUGCUACUUGGGAAAAAGCACUAAGUUUCUGUAGGGCUUAUAGAGGCACUGAAUUGCUUUACCUGGACACCAUAGAUGAAAAGGAUUGGCUCGCAACUAAAGUCUCUGGAGUUUAUUGGACUGGGCUCAAUGAUCGUGCAGCUGAAUCUGAUUUUCACUGGACAACAAAUGAUCCCUUGAACGCUGCCCUGAUCCCAUAUUUUAGGAAUGACUUGAGGAAUGGAGAUCUAAAGGACUGUGUUCAGUUAGAUACAAAUUUUGGACUGCUAACAGAUAUUCAGUGCUCAGUGGAAAAUAAUUUUGUUUGUAAAUCAAAGCGGGAUAUGGACUGGUUUCAGAAAAAAGAGAAAACAGGACUGACUGUCAGACCUCCAUAUGUAUACCCUUCGAAAACAAAUCUGGUCACAGCCAAAAAUGCAUGCUUGCAACAAGGAACUGCAUGUACCGGAAUACUGGAGGCUGGAACUCCUAAAGUUUUUUAUAUUCUUGAUGCUUCAGCUAUAUUUGUCUUCAAUCCUCAUUACAGCGUCUAUAUCCCAGCAGGUAAAAAUCAGCUGUUUAGAUCUGAGUUCUCUUCAAGUUCUAAUUAAACGUUAAAAUUAAGCUGGGGGCAGUUUUACUUGUGAAUUUUGAUAGCAGAAAAUGCAUAAAGUCACUGACAACACCAGCUUAGUCUGUGGGAUUAUCUGCCACUUGUGGAGCCCUCCACAAUCCAGAUGGGGCACAGCUGCAGCAGAGAAGACUAAGACUUUCUUGUUGGACAAGGGGGAUUCCUCCUGCUGCUCUUUGUCCCACGUGAAGUAAAUAAAAGCAUACUUUCUGGCCAUAACCCAGUGUAUUCUCAAUCAUCAGUAAAGUGGUGUAAGGCAUCAUCAUCGUUGCCAUCAAACAGCACUUAUUCACCACUAGCCUGGUUAUUAUUGCCAGGUUAGAAUUUCACCAGAAUUACUGAACUCGUAUAUCAUCUCAGCCUUAGUCUAAACAUGGACCAAAGAGCUAAAUUGCAUAGAUGAGAUGAAUUGCUAAAGUCUGGCAUCAAAGUACGCUGAUAAAACCUAAGUCAAUGGACGUAAAGAGGAAAAUGACCCAGUGGUUGAAGUCAUAUCUUGCACCAAGAAAUAUUGUACUUUUUGGAUAUCAGUCAGCCCAUGUCCAGGGCAUAGCCGCUGAAGCUCCUCAGGGCAGUCUCAUAGGCCCAACCAUCUAAAGCUGCUUCACCAAUUACCUUCUUCCAUCAGAAUUGCUGAUGUUUGCUGAUUUUCAAUUCUAUUCACAACUCCUCAGCAAAUUGAGCAAACCAUGCCUGAAUGCAGCAAGACCUGGGCAACAUUCAGGCAAGGGCUGAUGUGACAAUUAACAUAUGCGCAAUGGAAGUGCCAGACAAUGACCAUCUCCAACAGGAGAGAGUCUACCUAUUUUUGACAAUUCAGUGCCUUAGCAUCUCCAAAUUCCCCGCCAUCAACGUCCUAGCGGUUUCUAUUGACCAUAACCAACUUAGACCAGUCACAUGAGCACUGUCGCUACAAGGGCAGGUGAAAAGAUGGCUACAUGGUGAGUGACUCACCUCCAGGUUUAGCCUUCCCAACGUCUAAAAGACACAGGUCAGGAGUGUGAUGGAAUACUCUCCACCUGUCCACAGGAGUAUAACAUAUAACACUUAAGAGGAUUAAAACACUUGAUCAUAGGUGAAUCAAGAUCACCCAUCUUUUUAGCAUUAGCUUACGUUAGUUAUGAUGUAUUCCAUCGGUAGUUAACAGAUUAAAUUGAAUGGUAUAUAAUUCACCCUUGCCUAUUUGACACAGUGCAGGCCACAUGCAAGAUUCAUGAUGUGGUUAAUUACCAUGAUUUUAGGAAUCAGCAGCUCAGAGACCGUUACAUAAAUAGAAGCAGGAAUAGGUCAUUUGUCCUUCAAGUCUACUCUGCCACUUAUCAAAAUCAUAGCUGAUUUACCAAUUUUCCUGAACUAUCCGCAUAUCCCUUGAAUCUCUUAUUGCUUAAGUGGAAGGAAACUACUCCCCCCACUCAUGCUCGAUGGUUACAGGAUGUUAUCUCAUAUCUAAAUUUAGAGAAGAUCCAUUGCUCUAUUUCUGGAUCUAUUCUGAACUUUCAAAUAUUAUAGAGAUCUUUUUUGAACUACUUUAAAAACCACUGAUUUGGUGCUUAAUGUACAGAUAUUGGCCAAUACUACUAUGUCUUUAGGAUGUUACUAAACAGCUUCGGUUUUGGUAGUGGGGUUAGAUUUUUUUUAUAAUAAAAUUAUUCCAACUUAUCAAUAUCAAUUGAUAUCUUUUUUUGUUUAUUAAUAUGAAGCGUUGUGAUUUCUAGUGUGAUUCAAUAAAUCUAUUUUGUAACAUUUUCUUUUUUUCCUUUGUUUCAUGCACUUUGUACUCCUUAUUUGAAAUUAAUAAAAAUAUU